rnacentral:rRNA from 1 species
AUGGCUCAGAUUGAACGCUGGCGGCAGGCCUAACACAUGCAAGUCGAACGGUAACAGGAAACAGCUUGCUGUUUCGCUGACGAGUGGCGGACGGGUGAGUAAUGUCUGGGAAACUGCCUGAUGGAGGGGGAUAACUACUGGAAACGGUAGCUAAUACCGCAUAACGUCGCAAGACCAAAGAGGGGGACCUUCGGGCCUCUUGCCAUCAGAUGUGCCCAGAUGGGAUUAGCUAGUAGGUGGGGUAACGGCUCACCUAGGCGACGAUCCCUAGCUGGUCUGAGAGGAUGACCAGCCACACUGGAACUGAGACACGGUCCAGACUCCUACGGGAGGCAGCAGUGGGGAAUAUUGCACAAUGGGCGCAAGCCUGAUGCAGCCAUGCCGCGUGUAUGAAGAAGGCCUUCGGGUUGUAAAGUACUUUCAGCGGGGAGGAAGGGAGUAAAGUUAAUACCUUUGCUCAUUGACGUUACCCGCAGAAGAAGCACCGGCUAACUCCGUGCCAGCAGCCGCGGUAAUACGGAGGGUGCAAGCGUUAAUCGGAAUUACUGGGCGUAAAGCGCACGCAGGCGGUUUGUUAAGUCAGAUGUGAAAUCCCCGGGCUCAACCUGGGAACUGCAUCUGAUACUGGCAAGCUUGAGUCUCGUAGAGGGGGGUAGAAUUCCAGGUGUAGCGGUGAAAUGCGUAGAGAUCUGGAGGAAUACCGGUGGCGAAGGCGGCCCCCUGGACGAAGACUGACGCUCAGGUGCGAAAGCGUGGGGAGCAAACAGGAUUAGAUACCCUGGUAGUCCACGCCGUAAACGAUGUCGACUUGGAGGUUGUGCCCUUGAGGCGUGGCUUCCGGAGCUAACGCGUUAAGUCGACCGCCUGGGGAGUACGGCCGCAAGGUUAAAACUCAAAUGAAUUGACGGGGGCCCGCACAAGCGGUGGAGCAUGUGGUUUAAUUCGAUGCAACGCGAAGAACCUUACCUGGUCUUGACAUCCACGGAAGUUUUCAGAGAUGAGAAUGUGCCUUCGGGAACCGUGAGACAGGUGCUGCAUGGCUGUCGUCAGCUCGUGUUGUGAAAUGUUGGGUUAAGUCCCGCAACGAGCGCAACCCUUAUCCUUUGUUGCCAGCGGUCCGGCCGGGAACUCAAAGGAGACUGCCAGUGAUAAACUGGAGGAAGGUGGGGAUGACGUCAAGUCAUCAUGGCCCUUACGACCAGGGCUACACACGUGCUACAAUGGCGCAUACAAAGAGAAGCGACCUCGCGAGAGCAAGCGGACCUCAUAAAGUGCGUCGUAGUCCGGAUUGGAGUCUGCAACUCGACUCCAUGAAGUCGGAAUCGCUAGUAAUCGUGGAUCAGAAUGCCACGGUGAAUACGUUCCCGGGCCUUGUACACACCGCCCGUCACACCAUGGGAGUGGGUUGCAAAAGAAGUAGGUAGCUUAACCUUCGGGAGGGCGCUUACCACUUUGUGAUUCAUGACUGGGGUGAAGUCGUAACAAGGUAACCGUAGGGGAACCUGCGGUUG